ACAAACUGAACAAAGUCAUGUGCCAAGUGAAUCGGUUAUCCCAUAUCUUAAAGCCAAUUGAAUAGGUCAAAUUCUAAAUAUGAUUUAAAUUUGCAUUCACUCUCUCAGUUCGAUCACAAAUAGAUUCCAUUCACCACCUGGUCUCCAUUGCCUGUUGCUUCCAGAAAAAAAAAGCAUCUUCAAGUUCAUUUCAUCUUUUUGUGCUUCCGAGAAACCAAUCACCACCACCAUUGGAUCAUGUUCCAUCCACAUCGGUCUGGAUCGGUAAGAGAGAAAAAAAGCUACGCUUUCGUCAUCUAGGUUUGUUGCGAGUUCUGUUUUCUAUGCAGGUGGAAACAACCCACUCUGAUGCGUCUCUUCGUUUCUCUCUAAAUGCCAUCAGACACCACCACUUAUACUUACCGCUACCUAUUGCUUCUUUCACCAUCCAACCAAUGAGGGGAUUUGAGUCCCCGUGGAUGUUUAUCUCGAAGAACCACCAUCAUUAUCUCCUCCAUCGGCCACUCACACACCCUGGAGAUCGACGCCGCCAAAUGCCACUGGUUCUUUUUUAGCCGCUUAUCAUUGUUCUUUAUCUCUAGGGUUUUAAAAGAGGUGUUCAGAUCUGGAUGAAGAUGAACAAGAAGAUGGACCAUUUAAUUCCUAAAUGAUUCUAAGGUUUAGUUGUUCAUCAGUUGAGAAUUAAGAUGGAGCUUUUUAGUGGGAUGCCGAUUAGGAUUUUCGGUUGAGGCUGGAGGAGAAAUAGAGAGAGGUAUGUUUAUAAACUCAAACCUCCCAAUUUACAUCAUCUUAUAGAUUAUUUUUGUAGAAUUUAAUUUUGUGUGAUAGGUUUUGAUUUAGUUUCUUUGAUUCUGUUUUAAGGAAUUUUUCAAUUCCCUUGCUUAUUUGUUUCUAAUGGAUAAAAGAAUGUAUGCCAACUGUUUGUGGAAAUGCCCCAGUGAAACUAAUAUAUGAUUUUGCUUUUUUUCUAUGAAUUAUGUUUUGCAUAUGUAUGAAUUGCAUAUCAAUGAUGCAUGAUAUUACUUAAAUUCCAUUUUCAUCUUCAUGGAGUUAUCUUAUCUUUGGAACAUUCUUGCUUUAGAGCCUGGAAAUGACACAUUAGUUUUGUUUUUCUUCCAAUCUUUAUGCUUCUUCUGUAAUGUUGAGUGAUGUGAGAGAGUUGAGAAGGGAAAUGAAAAGUAAAGAUGUUGGUAAGGAACCUAGGUUUAGUUGGAUUCAGUAUACAUCUUGUACUUUACCUUUUUCAUGGUUUUCUAUAUCUUGAACAUGGCAAUUCAAAUGAUCCUACAUUGUGAUUAAAGAAUCAGACAUUGCUUACCUAGGUUAUUGUAUCAAAUGGUUUUAUAUCUGAUCUUACUUGCAGGCGAAGAGCAUUGGUAAUACAAGUUCCAAUGUGGUAAUCUCAUUUUUUUUAAUUCAAGUUUACAAGUUGUUUUAAUCAUGAUCAUGUUAAGUUUAUGAGUAAUUGUGCUUAGUAUGACUGUUUGCUAGAAUAAUUUCAUUUACACGGUGUCAGAUUCGAAGAUACCUCAAGAAAAGCGAUUGGCCCCUGUAGCAUUUUUAGAAGUUUGUACAUUCAAGAAUGGCCUUCAGGUGUUAAGGGUUCUCAAAGAGAGCACUGGCCUGCUCAUUGGCAUGUUCAGAAAAGGUUAAAUAUGGAAAAGUAAUAAACUUAUAAUCAUUGCUACUGGUUUGACACCUUUAUCCCCAAGGGGGUUAAAGUUGAUUUUAAGUGCUUGAUUCUUCAUACAUUCUAAUUGGUUCUCUGUUUUCAUCUACAUUUUAGGUGUUGUUGUAACUCUAAUAUUUGAUAUUUGAGGUUGAAUUUUCUUAAAGAACUUGGAGGAAAGCGAUGGAAGAAAAUGAUGUUAUGUGAUCUUGGAAGGCUGACCCUACCAUGAAGGAGUGCAAAUUGCACAUGCCCUUAUAUUUGAAGGGUCCAAAUUUCCAAUGAAAACAACAAAUGAAAUUCAACUCUUUUUUUGGAUUUAGAAGACGGAUAAAAAGAACUAAUUUGCGCAAUGAAAACAACAAAUGAAAUUCUACUAAAAUGAUUCUUAUUGAUAAUUGUUUAGAUGUAGUGAACUUAUUUGCGCAAAAGAACUAAUUGUCUGUAGAAACUAAUUUCUGAAAUUAAAAAAAAAAAAAAUUACACCCGGCGCUUGGCGCGGGUAAA